UGGAUUCAGUUUCAUCCAUAGAAGUAGGUUCAACCUCUGGAAAGAUCCCCACAACUCCACUCAGAGUGCCUCCUAGCCCAUCUCGGUUCUCAUUGUCUCCUCAAUUGAGUACAAUUGGAUCAGUAAAUCUCAGUAUCAAUCAGAUCAUCAAAGCUACUCAGAGCUUCUCUCCUUCAUUAAGGUUAGGUGAAGGAGGAUUUGGAACUGUGUACAAGGCUGUGCUGCCAGAUGGUCUCAUUGUUGCUAUUAAACGAGCAAAGAAGGAACAUAUUCCAGCAUUACGAGAUGAAUUUAGUAAUGAAGUUGAACUUCUUGCGAAAAUCGAGCAUCAAAACUUGGUUAGGUUGCUUGGUUACACUGAUAAAGGAAAUGAGCGCAUUAUCAUUACUGAGUAUGUUCCAAAUGGUACUCUCAGGGAGCAUCUGGAUGGUCAGCAUGGCAAGAUUUUGGACUUCAAGCAACGACUAGAAAUAGCUAUUGAUGUUGCCCAUGCCUUGACUUAUCUCCAUCUAUAUGCAGAAAAGACGAUAAUUCACCGAGAUGUGAAGUCAUCUAACAUUCUGCUGACAGAAAGCUAUAGAGCCAAGGUGUCUGACUUUGGGUUUGCAAGAACUGGCCCAUCCGACACAGAACAGACUCACAUCUCGACCAAAGUGAAAGGAACAGCUGGGUACCUUGACCCAGAAUACCUAAGGACCUAUCAACUCACGCCCAAGAGUGAUGUAUUUUCCUUUGGAAUAUUGCUCAUAGAAAUUCUCUCUGGAAGGCGUCCGGUGGAACUCAAGAGAGGCAUAGAUGAAAGAAUUACUGUUAGAUGGGCUUUUCAUAAAUAUAAUGUGGGCAAUCUAAGGGACAUUUUGGAUCCUUUGCUGGAGGAAGUGGUAGAUGAGGAGGUACUGGGGAAGAUGCUCAGUUUGGCAUUCCAAUGUGCUGCCCCUACACGUGAUGAUCGACCGGACAUGAAAGAAGUCGGAGAACAGCUGUGGGAGAUACGAAGGGAAUUUAGGAAGAGCUUCAGUAAAAGCAUAAUGUAGCUCUGCUAAGCUGCAGGUGAGAUGGCAUUGUAGAGGAAAUCAGUUGUUUAUGUCUGUAUUCCGAAAUAGGAUUGAGACACCAGAAAAAUAAAACAGUGAUGGUAUAUUUCAUCAAUCAAUCUUUGUUAUAUGACGUGGACAACUGAAGAGUUUAUGCAUAUUAUUCAGAAGCCACAUUUUGUAUAUGUGAUUAGAUCGUGCUGUAAUUUUUGAACUUGAUAGCUUAGGUCAUUCUUGCAUAGAUUUGAAUCCUCUGUGUGGUAUUCUGAGUGACCUUGGUGGAAAGAUUUGUGGAGGCUGAUUCUGAUAUGAUGCUAAUGGGUGCUAAUGAUAUGGCUAGAUCUGUGGACUCGGAAACAUCUCUUAAUUUUAGAUAUGGUAUCACUAUCACCAUAUAAUUUUGACAGCAGUCUUUUAUGUACCCAACUCUUAAUGCUUGGAUGGUAGCUGUGAUAGCACCCCAACAGAAACAGAGGAAAUAACCAGUAGAAUUGUUAGAGAGUUGAAGGGCAUGCAAGUGAUGGGGGGUUUCCUAGCAGGUGGUUGAGGAAAUAGAUAGAACUGUAGCAGCAUUCUGAAUCCAGUUGCCAACUGCAUCGAGCCUGUUGCAUCAUUUACAUCUGCAAGAAAAUUUAAAACAUCAGUGUCAUAGUAGUUGAACAUGGAUGAACAAAUUGGUGUACAGGAUUUUCAGUCAGGUGCUGCCAAUCUCCUUGUCAUGAAUCCUCGGAUGCUGUGCUUGUAUCGGCCUUGGUUCUCGGACACAUAUAGUUUAGGAGGGUUUAUAAGCAGCUGGUUUUGCAGACUUCAAGGAGCACGUAUCAGUGAUUGGAGUGUGAUAGAUAAACUGGCACAAAGUUUAAGUGCGAUGCAGAGCUAGCAGAUUUUGAAGAUGAUAAUCAUCAGGAUGGUUGCAACAUAGAUUACUCAAUAUUUUUAAAUAACUUUUUGUACUUCUUAAAAAA